GGCCUAAAUUUGAAGUAGAGUAGGUUAGAAGGAUCAUCUGACCCUACUAAACUACUCUACCUCGAGUUUGUGCCC
rfam:Haemonchus contortus, ISE/inbred ISE, WGS project CAVP01000000 data, contig: Hcontortus_25959